GACGAACGCUGGCGGCGUGCCUAAUGCAUGCAAGUCGAACGCACUGCCUUCGGGCAGUGAGUGGCGCACGGCUGAGGAACACGUGGGAAUCUGCCCGACCGUGGGGGAUAACACGCCGAAAGGCGUGCUAAGCCCGCAUACGCUCGCAAGAGGAAAGCGGCAACGCGCGGUCGGAGGAGCCUGCGGCCCAUCAGGUAGUCGGCGGGGUAACGGCCCACCGAGCCGGUGACGGGUAGCUGGUCUGUGAGGACAGACAGCCAGACUGGGACUGAGACACGGCCCAGACUCCUACGGGAGGCAGCAGCAAGGAAUUUUCGGCAAUGGGCGCAAGCCUGACCGAGCAACGCCGCGUGGAGGACGACGGCCUUCGGGUUGUAAACUCCUUUUACGGGGGACGACAUCGACUGUACCCCGCGAAUCAGGCUCGGCUAACUCUGUGCCAGCAGCCGCGGUAAGACAGAGGAGCCAAGCGUUGUCCGGAUUGACUGGGCGUAAAGCGCACGCAGGCGGCUGGGCACGUGGGGUGUGAAACCUGGCGGCUUAACUGCCAGACGCCAUCCCAUACGGCCCGGCUCGAGGCAGGCAGAGGUUCGUGGAAUUGCCGGUGUAGUGGUGAAAUGCGUAGAGAUCGGCAGGAACACCAAGGGCGAAAGCAGCGAACUGGGCCUGGUCUGACGCUCAGGUGCGAAAGCGUGGGGAGCGAACCGGAUUAGAUACCCGGGUAGUCCACGCCGUAAACGAUGAAUACUCGGCAUCUUUCGACCGAUUUUC
rnacentral:rRNA from 1 species